rnacentral:sRNA from 1 species
UUUUCUUUUUCCUUUUUUUUUUCCUUUU